UCAAGAUAAGCGAGAUGGAAAUGGAGAAAUUUCAUCUUCCUCUACAAACAUUCCUAGUAUCCCGGUUCAAGCUGGGUACGAGUCCUUCUUAUUGUCCCGUUCAACAAGAAUAUCAAAGAGUGAGUUGAGGAACUACUUAGAGGAUGAGGUUUCCCCUCGCAACAAGGCUCUUGAUCUUCUUGGUUGGUUGAAAGGCAAUGCUCCUAGGUACCCAAUUAUGGACAAGAUAGCGAGGAGGUUCCUUACUAUCCCAGCUACCUCCGUGUCUUCGGAAUCUACCUUCAGCACGACCGGAAGGAUUUUAGAUGACUAUAGGAGUUCUUUAAAACCGGUUAUGGUGGAGGCAUUAGUUUGUGGUGCAAGUUAUAUCAAGGGUGCUCAUGUUGACUUGAAUCUGGUGCCGAGGGAUGAGAAUGAAGAGGAUGAUGUUAAGAACAUCAAGUUA